rnacentral:rRNA from 1 species
UACGGGGGGAGCAAGCGUUGUUCGGAUUUACUGGGCGUAAAGGGCGCGUAGGCGGCGCAACAAGUCACUUGUGAAGUCUCCGGGCUUAACCCGGAGCGGUCAAGUGAUACUGUCGUGCUAGAGUGCGGAAGGGGCAACUGGAAUUCUCGGUGUAGCGGUGAAAUGCGUAGAUAUCAGGAGGAACACCGGUGGCGAAGGCGGCUUGCUGGGCCAGUUCUGACGCUGAGGAGCGAAAGCGUGGGGAGCGAACAGG